rnacentral:rRNA from 1 species
UACGAAGGGGGCUAGCGUUGCUCGGAAUGACUGGGCGUAAAGGGCGCGUAGGCGGAUGGCACAGUCAGAUGUGAAAUUCCCGGGCUUAACCUGGGGGCUGCAUUUGAUACGUGUUGUCUAGAGUGAGGAAGAGGGUCGUGGAAUUCCCAGUGUAGAGGUGAAAUUCGUAGAUAUUGGGAAGAACACCGGUGGCGAAGGCGGCGCUCUGGACCGAGACUGACGCUGAGGCGCGAAAGCCGUGGGGAGCAAACAGGG